AGAGUGAACGCUGGCGGCAGGCCUAAUACAUGCAAGUCGAACGGCAGCACAGCAGAGCUUGCUCUGUGGGUGGCGAGUGGCGGACGGGUGAGGAAUACAUGGGAAUCUGCCCAGUCGUGGGGGAUAACGUAUGGAAACGUACGCUAAUACCGCAUGCGCCCUUCGGGGGAAAGCCGGGGACCUUCGGGCCUGGCGCGAUUGGAUGAGCCCAUGUCGGAUUAGCUAGGUUGGCGGGUAAAGGCCCACCAAGGCGACGAUCCGUAGCUGGUCUGAGCGGAUGGAUACGAGCCCAACGCGUAGGAACUGGAGACACGGCCAGACUCCGUAGGGAGCAGCAGGUGGGAAUACGUGGACAGUGGCGACAAGCCUGA
rnacentral:rRNA from 1 species